rnacentral:rRNA from 1 species
UGGGGAAUUUUGCACAAUGGGGGAAACCCUGAUGCAGCGACGCCGCGUGAUUUAGAAGGCCUUCGGGUUGUAAAAUCUUUUGUAUGGGAAGAAAAUGACAGUACCAUACGAAUAAGGACCGGCUAAUUACGUGCCAGCAGCCGCGGUAAUACGUAAGGUCCGAGCGUUGUCCGGAAUCAUUGGGCGUAAAGGGUACGUAGGCGGAUAAGCAAGUUAGAAGUGAAAUCCUAUAGCUCAACUAUAGUAAGCUUUUAAAACUGCUCAUCUUGAGGUAUGGAAGGGAAAGUGGAAUUCCUAGUGUAGCGGUGAAAUGCGCAGAUAUUAGGAGGAAUACCGGUGGCGAAGGCGACUUUCUGGCCAUAUACUGACGCUGAGGUACGAAAGCGUGGGUAGCAAACAGG